CAAAACUUUCGGGGCUCCACUUAGCAAAAAUUUGCUGUUACUUUCCACAGCAGCCGCCGGCUAAGAGAAAAAAUAAACAAGUCGGCGCGUGCAAAUCAGUGCGAAUUAAAAUUUGAUUCUGGCGGUAUUCGUGGACACGGUAAUGACUAUAGAAGGACAAUAGAAAGGAAGAUAAACCAAUACUGGGAGCGCAAUGGUCCCAAGAAGAAAAGGAGCCAGCAGUGAAAUUGAACACCCCAGCAUUCGGAGCCUCCUUGAACAUAUUAUGGAGAUCAGUUUUUACGAGCUAAAUUUUAAGUGACUUGAAAUAUGAAAAAAAAAAUCAAAUAAAUUAAGUGAAAGAAUUUAUGUGUUCUGUUUUUAUAAUCCGAUGUUCCCCAUGAAUUUCAAAUGAAAUUUUUGUUUUGGUAUUUCAAUACCCCCGCGAUCUUUU